rnacentral:rRNA from 1 species
AGUGAACGCUGGCGGUAGGCCUAACACAUGCAAGUCGAACGGCAGCACAGUAAGAGCUUGCUCUUACGGGUGGCGAGUGGCGGACGGGUGAGGAAUACAUCGGAAUCUACUUUUUCGUGGGGGAUAACGUAGGGAAACUUACGCUAAUACCGCAUACGACCUACGGGUGAAAGCAGGGGAUCUUCGGACCUUGCGCGAUUGAAUGAGCCGAUGUCGGAUUAGCUAGUUGGCGGGGUAAAGGCCCACCAAGUCGACGAUCCGUAGCUGGUCUGAGAGGAUGAUCAGCCACACUGGAACUGAGACACGGUCCAGACUCCUACGGGACGCAGCAGUGGGGAAUAUUGGACAAUGGGCGCAAGCCUGAUCCAGCCAUACCGCGUGGGUGAAGAAGGCCUUCGGGUUGUAAAGCCCUUUUGUUGGGAAAGAAAAGCAGCAGGUUAAUACCCCGCUGUUCUGACGGUACCCAAAGAAUAAGCACCGGCUAACUUCGUG